rnacentral:rRNA from 1 species
UAGGGAAUCUUCCACAAUGGACGAAAGUACUGAUGGAGCAACGCCGCGUGAGUGAAGAAGGGUUUCGGCUCGUAAAACUCUGUUGUUAAAGAAGAACAUAUCUGAGAGUAACUGUUCAGGUAUUGACGGUAUUUAACCAGAAAGCCACGGCUAACUACGUGCCA